CUGAGCAGGUCUCUGAGGCAUUUGCAUCCCCAUCUAUUCCAAUCUCUGCCCAUGUAGUCUACAUGCAUGUCCAAGGUAGCAUUCCCAUCCCCCACUAAAAGUAAGGGACGAGACGUUCCUAGGAAUACUUCUAGACAUCGAAAGAAAUUCAGCCGACCUGUUAAAGGCGGUGCAAAAACUGCCAGUAGCC